GACGAACGCUGGCGGCGUGCUUAACACAUGCAAGUCGAACGGAAAGGCCCUGCUUUUGUGGGGUGCUCGAGUGGCGAACGGGUGAGUAACACGUGAGUAACCUGCCCUUGACUUUGGGAUAACUUCAGGAAACUGGGGCUAAUACCGGAUAGGAGCUCCUGCUGCAUGGUGGGGGUUGGAAAGUUUCGGCGGUUGGGGCUGGACUCGCGGCUUAUCAGCUUGUUGGUGGGGUAGUGGCUUACCAAGGCUUUGACGGGUAUCCGGCCUGAGAGGGUGACCGGCCACAUUGGGACUGAGAUACGGCCCAGACUCCUACGGGAGGCAGCAGUGGGGAAUAUUGCACAAUGGGCGGAAGCCUGAUGCAGCAACGCCGCGUGCGGGAUGACGGCCUUCGGGUUGUAAACCGCUUUCGCCUGUGACGAAGCGUGAGUGACGGUAAUGGGUAAAGAAGCACCGGCUAAUUACGUG
rnacentral:rRNA from 1 species